rnacentral:lncRNA from 1 species
AUGGCGGCGGGUGGGGGGAGCAAGCAUCCGCAGGUAAAUGGAACCUUCGGAAGCGCCGGAAACGGAGGCCCCUCGACGCCCCUCCCCCAGGCAGGGAUGUUGCUCUUGGAGAAUGUGAAGACAGUUUGCUUCUUGACAAGCGAGCGAACGGGCGCCCAGAUUUUUGCAGCCUCUCGAGUCUCUCCCGAGGGAAAGGCAGGCAGAGAAAACGCCUGAUUUGGGAGCCACCAGGGAAGGAUUCCGUGCAGGGGGAGCCGCCCUCUUUGGCCCCAGACCGGCCUGCCGGGGACCCCCUUUGGGCAUAGCCAACGGAUGACCUGAAACACUGAGGAUGGUUCUGGGGAUUGGGGUGGGGAAAGCCUUUUGGAUAAUAACUGCAAAGAAGAAAGAGGCGAAGACAACUGUUUCUUCUCUGCCUUGCAGCAGGAGGAACUGUGUUCUUAAAGCUGUUGGCUGCAGUCACAGGGCCAGUUGCCUGCCUCCGUUCCCUGAGUAAAGUGUAAUGUCUCCUGUUUUCAGGGUUGCACCCUUCAGCAAAUUAUAUAUCUUGCUCGACUGUGAAAUAGGUCUUGCUAAGGAAGUGUGUGUGUGUGUGUGUGUGUGUGUGUGUGUGUGUGUGUGUGUUUAUGGGGGUGUGUCUCUCUACAGUGAGGCUGCUACUAGAGGUGCUAGUUAUUCAUUUCAAAAACCUGGUGGUUAAAAACUUUAAAAAGGGAGGGAUCAUUG